UCGCGGACGCUGCUGGCUCCGCCUACGCCUCGUCAGCCUCCCUCACGAGGGCUGCCGGUGCCUGGCGGCUCCCUCACGUAGGCUCGAUGCCCGAAAAAGAGCCCUGCCUGUCCCGAUCCCGCGCUCCGCUGCAGCACGCGUCUGCCCCGGAGCCGGUCGCCUCGGUGCUUAUAUCUUUCAGCUGCUGUAGAAGAGCCAAGGGGACCAACCUGAACUGGUCGUUUUUGACUUUCACCUCAAGGAGGGGAGCAGCUGAGCAUAUCUGUGGAAGGAAGUUAAGCUGCUGGAGCUGGUGGCUAGCAGGAGAGCGAACAACCCUGAUGAUGGAGCUGGGAGCUAGUGAGGCUGGGAGGCUGCUGGUAGUACGUAUGAAUGUCCCUUUGGGUUCCUCACUGACACAGGUGCUUGCCAGAGACCAGAACAGGUUUUGA
rnacentral:lncRNA from 1 species